ensembl:lncRNA
AAAGAUCAGUUUUCAUUCAAUCUCAAAGAAAGGCAAUGCCAAAGAAUGCUCAAACUACCACACAAUUGCACUCAUCUCACAUGCUAGCAAAGUAAUGCUCAGAAUUCUCGAAACCAGGCUUCAACAGUAUGUGAACCAUGAACUUCCAGAUUUUCAAGCAGGAUUUAGAAAAAGCAGAAGAACCAGGGAUCAAAUUGCUAACAUCCAUUGUAUCAUCAAAAAAGCAAGCGUGUUCCAGAGAAACAUCUACUUCUGCUUUAUUGACUAUGCUAAAGCAUUUGACUCUGUAGAUCACAACAAACUGGAAAAUUCUUCAUGAGUUGGGAAUACCAGACCACCUGACCUGCCUCUUGAGAAAUCUGUAUGCAGGUCAGGAAGCAACAGUUAGAACUGGACAUGGAACAACAGACUGGUUCCAAAUAGGAAAAAGAGUACGUCAAGGCUGUAUAUUGUCACCCUGCUUAUUUAACUUAUAUGCAGAGCACAUCAUGAGAAACUCUGGGCUGGAAGAAGCAUAAGCUGGAAUCAAGAUUGCCAGGAGAAAUAUCAAUAGCUUCAGGUAUGCAGAUGACACCACCCUUAUGAUAGCAAGCAAAAAAGAACUAAAGAGCCCUUUUUGAAAGUGAAAGAGGAGAGUGAACAAGUUGGCUUUAAACUCAACAUUCAGAAAACGAAGAUCAUGGCAUCUGGUCCCAUCACUUCAUGGUAAAUAGGUGGGGAAACAGUGGCUUACUUUAUUUUUUUGGUCUCCAAAAUCACAGCAGAUGGUGACUGCAUCCAUGAAAUUAAAAGAUGCUUACUCCUUGGAAGGGAAGUUAUGACCAACUAGACAGCAUAUUCAAAAGCAGAGAUGUUACUUUGCCAACAAAGGUCCAUCUAAUCAAAGCUAUGGUUUUUCCAGUGGUCAUGUAUGGAUGUGAGAGUUGGACUAUAAAGAAAGCUGAGUGCUGAAGAAUUGAUGCUUUUGAACUGCGGUGUUGGAGAAGAUUCUUGAGAGUCCUUGGACUGCAAGGAGAUCUAACCAGUCAAUCCUAAAGGAAAUCAGUCUUGAAUGUUCAUUGGAAGAACUGAUGUUAAAGCUGAAACUCCAAUACUUUGGCCACCUGAUGUGAAGAACUAACUCAUUUGUAAAGACCCUGAUGCUGGAAAGGAUUGAGGGCAGGAGGAGAAGGAGACGACAGAGGAUGAGAUGGUUGGAUGGCAUCACCAACUCAAGGGACAUGAGUUUCAGCAAACUCUGGGAGUUGGUGAUUGACAGGGGGCCUGGCAUGCUGUAGUCCAUGGGAUCGCAAAGAUUGGACACAACUGAGCGACUGAACUGAAUAGGGCCACCAAUCACAGAAAUUGAGCUCCCCUUGAUGAAAGAUAAGAACCUUAGCUCUCAUGAUCAAUGGCACUUGAACCUACAGUGGUCCAUGAUCUCCUUAGUCCCUCCUAACUUUGAAGGUUUGUCCUCUGGGUGGAAACUCUGGACCUCAAAGAAACUAUACCUCUUGUUUUGGGUUCUAUCCAGCCACUGGAGAGAGAUUCAGUGGUGUAAGAGAUACUUAACACCAAUGAGGAUAUUGAAGAACCAUCACAGCAAUCUUUCUAGAACUUUAGGCACUGAGGCAUUUUACUCCCACUCAUGUAUAUGUGUGUGUGAUAUGUGUAAUUGUAAGAAAAUUUUAGCUUAAAUAAGCUGAAUUAAUUUUUUUGAAUAUUGCUGUUCAUUUGAAUGUUAAUAUAGUGUAAACCAUUUGAAAUGGCUACCCACAUUUGGUUUUUGCUUAUUAUAGCAGAGUCAGUACAAAAUGAUUCACUGAAGGUCUUAGACUCCCUGCAGCUUUUCCAUUUGCCCAUCUCCUUUCUGCCAAUUCAUUGACGGUACUUUUUCCAGACCCAUUCUUCAGCAUUUAUGCUCACAGCUUAUUCCACAUUCAAGGUUUUAUGCACUUGUCUAAGUUUUAAUAAUUAUGUUGCAUGGGAAUUUCCAGUUUUCCCUUUCAGAGCACAAGGCAGGCAUUUUAUUGAAUAUUUAUUGAAGGAAUAGAUACUUGCCAAAUAUCCAGUGAGCUGCGUGAGAGAUUGAAUGCUUAGAAUGAAGGGAACACAACCUCAGAACUUUGAAGUGUGUCCAUAAAACUGAAUUCAACCUUCAACACAUGCAAAGCAAAUACAUGAAUGUAAUCUAAUGCUGUAAAGGCCCAUUAGCCUGUACAUUUCACAUUUCAAAAUUACAUAAUAAGAUAAGAGAAGACAGGGCUCUUCCAACUUGUAGAUGUGAAACACGAGGCAGAAAGCAGUGGUUUGACUGAGGUUUUUUUCCACUUAAUUUCAUUGCCUCUUAAAAAACGACGGAAACAUUCGUGGAACAACUUUGUGCUGAUUCACUCAAAAACUCAACCUCAAGCCAUUGUGAUUUCUCAUUUCUUUUUUGGAUCAAGUAUUUUUGUGUCUGCAAGUGAAGUAGAAGUGUAAAAUCGAUUAAGAAGGAUGGAGACUCCUGAACGUCUGGAUCAGAGAAAAUUUUUUCACCCUGACUGCAAGGAACUGCUGCCAGGACAGUGUCUUACAAAUUCAUUUUCAAUGCAAUCUCCAAGUGUUGAACACCUUCUAUAGAUCAGGCUCUGAGCUAAGCUUCAGAUGAUACAGGACUUAACAGUCACAGAUCUUACCUUCAAGAAGUCUAAUGUUCAAUGGACAAUGUUUGGGUGCUGCAUUGAUUCUCAUGUUCAUGACACAUCCUCCCUUUACAAGUGAUUAAAGGAGCAAAUGUUUCAGGUAUUGAAACUGAUCGACAUGACACACUUUUUAGUCCAAGCCGGUUGUCAGUCCUGAUAAAACAUCACACUGAGAAAUCUGUUGACAAAGCAAGGUGAGGGAAGAGCUCUGUGCUCUUCCUCUUUGCUGCUGGGCCCUAGCUUUGGAUGACUGGCAGAGAUUAAGGGCAUACUCCAGACAACUACACAGCAUUAUAUGUUCCAUGGCGACCUGGAGCCUCUACAGAUUCCACACCUUGUGUCUGACUGCUGCUUCCCUCACUGGCCCGGAGGAGCCACCACGCUUGCACCUCAUCCAGGCCAGCAGCUUCUGUUUCAGCUACUCUGAGUCCGGUGCCAGGCAUGUGUGCAGCCUCAUGGCAAAGGGUUCCAGCUCCUUUGAUUUCACCGGCAUUGCCAAGGUUGGAGGCAAGGAGGAACUGAUUUACGUUCCCAUUUGUCAUUCUGCCCUGCUUCAUGUCUGUGAAUCUUCAGUGACUUCCAUCCCAAAUGCAGAGGCAUCAGGUUUCCACUUCUUCGACAGCUCCUACAACUGUGUAAAAUCAGAUCCCUAACGUAAAUCCUUUAUUCCAUGUCACCCACAGUGAUUCUGUUUCUCUGCUGAAACACUGACUGAUACAAUAUGUUUGAAUGUUAAAUAACAAGUAGGGGUUAGUGGUAACCUCUGGGGAGAGAAGGAAGAGAAUGAAUUGGCUGUAAGGUCUUCAGUGUUAUUUAUGUAAUAAAAUAACAAUUUGUG